CUACGGGAUGCACCAGUGGGGAAUAUUGGACAAUGGGGGCAACCCUGAUCCAGCCAUGCCGCGUGUGUGAAGAAGGCCUUAGGGUUGUAAAGCACUUUCAGUGGUGAGGAAGGCUGAGUAGUUAAUACCUGCUUAGUUUGACGUUAGCCACAGAAGAAGCACCGGCUAACUCUGUGCCAGCAGCCGCGGUAAUACAGAGGGUGCGAGCGUUAAUCGGAAUUACUGGGCGUAAAGCGCGCGUCGGUGGUUUGUUAAGUCGGAUGUGAAAUCCCCGGGCUCAACCUGGGAACUGCACCCGAUACUGGCAGGCUAGAGUACGAUAGAGGGGUGUGGAAUUUCCUGUGUAGCGGUGAAAUGCGUAGAUAUAGGAAGGAACAUCAGUGGCGAAGGCGACACCCCGGAUUGAUACUGACACUGAGGUGCGAAAGCGUGGGGAGCAAACAGGAUUAGAUACCCCGGUAGUC
rnacentral:rRNA from 1 species